UACGUAGGGUGCCAAGCGUGUCCGGAAUUUAUUGGGCGUAAAGAGCUCGUAGGCGGUCUGUCGCGUCUGCUGUGAAAACCUCGGGGCUAACCCCGGGCCUGCAGUGGGUACGGGGCAGACUAGAGUGCGGGUAGGGGGAGACUGGAAUUCCUGGUGUAGCGGUGGAAUGCGCGAUAUCAGGAGGAACACCGGUGGCAAGGCGGGGUCUCCGUGGGCAGUAAACUGCGUGGAGGAGCGAAAAGCGUGGG
rnacentral:rRNA from 1 species